GUGGAUUAGAUACCCCGGUAGUCCUGGCAGUAAACGGUGCGCGUUUGGUGUGGGAGGAAUCGACCCCUUCCGUGCCGGAGCUAACGCGUUAAACGCGCCGCCUGGGGAGUACGGUCGCAAGAUUAAAACUCAAAGAAAUUGACGGGGGCCCGCACAAGCGGUGGAGUAUGUGGCUUAAUUCGAUGCAACGCGAAGAACCUUACCUGGGCUUGACAUGCAUCUCUAAGGCGGUGAAAGCCGUUGAGUGGAGCAAUCCACAAUUUGCACAGGUGCUGCAUGGCUGUCGACAACU
rnacentral:rRNA from 1 species